CCUACGGGUGGCAGCAGUGGGGAAUAUUGGUCAAUGGACGAGAGUCUGAACCAGCCAAGUAGCGUGAAGGAUGACUGCCCUAUGGGUUGUAAACUUCUUUUAUAUGGGAAUAAAACGUUCCACGUGUGGGAUUUUGUAUGUACCAUAUGAAUAAGGAUAGGCUAACUCCGUGCCAGCAGCCGCGGUAAUACGGAGGAUCCGAGCGUUAUCCGGAGUUAUUGGGUUUAAAGGGAGCGUAGGUGGAUUGUUAAGUCAGUUGUGAAAGUGUGCGGCUCAACCGUAAAAUUGCAGUUGAAACUGGCAGUCUUGAGUACAGUAGAGGUGGGCGGAAUUCGUGGUGUAGCGGUGAAAUGCUUAGAUAUCACGAAGAACUCCGAUUGCGAAGGCAGUUCACUGGACUGCAACUGACACUGAGGCUCGAAAGUGUGGGUAUCAAACAGGAUUAGAUACCCCAGUAGUC
rnacentral:rRNA from 1 species